UACGUAGGGGGGCAAGCGUUGUCCGGAAUCAUUGGGCGUAAAGCGCGCGUAGGCGGCCCGGUAAGUCCGCUGUAAAAGUCCAGGGCUCAACCCCGGGAGGCGGGUGGAUACUGUCAAGCUCGAGUCCGGAAGAGGCGAGUGGAAUUCCUGGUGUAGCGGUGAAAUGCGCAGAUAUCAGGAGGAACACCAAUGGCGAAGGCAGCUCGCUGGGACGUGACUGACGCUGAGACGCGAAAGCGUGGGGAGCAAACAGG
rnacentral:rRNA from 1 species